rnacentral:rRNA from 1 species
UACGGGGGGGGCAAGCGUUGUUCGGAAUUACUGGGCGUAAAGGGCUCGUAGGCGGCCAACUAAGUCAGACGUGAAAUCCCUCGGCUUAACCGGGGAACUGCAUCUGAUACUGGAUGGCUUGAAUCCGGGAGAGGGAUGCAGAAUUCCAGGUGUAGCGGUGAAAUGCGUAGAUAUCUGGAGGAAUACCGGUGGCGAAGGCGGCAUCCUGGACCACACAUACGCUGAGUAGAGCGAAAGCGUGGGGAGCGAACAGG